rnacentral:rRNA from 1 species
GAUAAACGCUGGCGGUGUGCCUGAGAUAUGCAAGUCGAGCGGGAAUCAUUGAAGUCGCAAGAUGGAUAUGAUUUCAGCGGCGGACGGCUGAGUAACACGUAAGAAUCUCCCCCAAAGUCUCACAUAGCUCACCGAAAGGUGGGGUAAUUUGAGAUAGUCUCCCCUCGCAAGAGGGGUGUAAAGCCGCAAGGCGCUUCGGGAUGAGCUUGCGUCCUAUCGGGUAGUUGGUGGGGUAAUGGCCCACCAAGCCUACGACGGGUAGCUGGCCUCAUGAGGGUGGUCAGCCAGAAGGGGACUGAGAUACGGCCCCUACUCCUACGGGAGGCAGCAAUCAGGAAUAGUCGGCAAUGGGCGAAAGCCUGACCGCGCGACACCGCGUGUGCGAUGAAGGUUCACAAGAUCGUAAAGCACUGUGGGAGGGGAAGAGAAAGGACGGUACCCUCCUAGAAAGUAGCCGCUAACUGCGUGCCAGAAGCGUCGGUAAUACGUGGGCUACGAGCGUUAUCCGGUGUUAUUGGGCAUAAAGAGUCAUGUAGGCGGGUGCAUAAGUCACUUUUUAAAUCUCCGGGCUCAACUCGGAAACUUGAAGUGAGACUGUGCGUCUAGAAGAUGCUUGAGGGAGAACGGAACUGUGGGAGGAGUAGUGAAAUGCGUUGAUACCCACGGGAACACCAGUGGCGAAGGCGGUUCUCUAGAAGCAUCUUGACGCUGAGAUACGAAAGUUAGGGGAGCGAAGCAGAUUAGAGACCUGCGUAGUCCUAACCUUAAACUAAUGUACGCUAGCUGCAUUCUUUCCCAAUUUAUUGGGAUCGGGUGUGGCGCAGGUAAUCCGUUAAGCGUACCGCCUGGGAAGUACGGCCGCAAGGUUGAAACUCAAAGGAAUUGGCGGGGAGGCACACAACCAGAGGAACAUGUGGUUUAAUUCGAUACAAAACGAAGAACCUUACCAAGGCUUGACAUGCGAGCGUUCUAUUCCCAAGAAACUGGGGAAAUCCGCAAGGAGGCUCGCACCGGUGAUGCAUGGCUGUCGUCAGUUCGUUCCGUGAGGAGUGCUCUUAAGUGAGACAACGAACGCAACCCCUGUCGUCUGUUAUACGUAUCAGAUGAGACUGCUCGCCUUAUUUGGCGAGAGGAAGGCGGGGCAGACGUCAAGUCAGCACGUCCCUUAUGUCUUGGGCUACACACAUGUUACAAUGAAUCACAACAAUGAGUCUCGCAAGUCAGCGAUGACAAGCAAAUCUCAGAAAUUGAUUCUCAGUGGGGAUUGGAGUCUGCAACUCGACUCCAUGAACUUGGAUUUGGUAGUAAUCGCGGGUCAGCUAUACCGCGGUGAAUACGUUCUUGCCUCUUGCACACACCGCCCGUCAAACCAACAAAGUCGACAGUAUAUGAACUGCGGUCUUGCCGUGGGAGUAUAUCGCCGGCGAUGAGGGUU